UACGUAGGGACCGAGCGUUGUCCGGAUUCAUUGGGCGUAAAGAGCUCGUAGGCGGCUGCUCAAGUCGAAUGUGAAAACUCGAGGCUCAACCUCGAGCCUGCAUUCGAUACUGGGCGGCUAGAGUCUGGUAGGGGGAUCUGGAAUUCCUGGUGUAGCGGUGGAAUGCGCAGAUAUCAGGAGGAACACCGGUGGCGAAGGCGGGAUCCUGGGCCAGUACUGACGCUGAUGAGCGAAAGCUAGGGGAGCAAACGGG
rnacentral:rRNA from 1 species